UACAGAGGGUGCAAGCGUUGUUCGGAAUUACUGGGCGUAAAGCGCGUGUAGGCUGCGGUGUAAGUCGGACGUGAAAGCCCUUGGCUUAACCAAGGAAGUGCGUCCGAUACUGCGUCGCUUGAGUGUCGGAGGGGGCGGCGGAAUUCCCGGUGUAGAGGUGAAAUUCGUAGAUAUCGGGAGGAACACCUGUGGCGAAGGCGGCCGCCUGGACGAUAACUGACGCUGAGACGCGAAAGCGUGGGUAGCAAACAGG
rnacentral:rRNA from 1 species